GACGAACGCUGGCGGCGUGCUUAACACAUGCAAGUCGAACGAAAAGAGGGAAAGAGCUUGCUCUUUCCGGAAUUGAGUGGCAAACGGGUGAGUAACACGGAAAAAACCUGCCUUCAGGGGGGGGACAACAGACGGAAACGACUGCUAAUACCGAAUAAGUUCCAAGAACCGCAUGGGCCAUGGAAGAAAAAGGGGCCUCUACCUGUAAGCUAUCGCCUGAAGAGGGGGUUGCGUCUGAUUAGCUGGUUGGGGGGGGAACGGCCCACAAAGGCGACGAUCAGGAGCCGGUCUGAGAGGAUGAACGGCCACACUGGAACUGAGACACGGUCCAGACGCCUACGGGAGGCAGCAGUGGGGAAUCUUCCGCAAUGGGCGAAAGCCUGACGGAGCAACGCCGCGUGAGUGAUGACGGCCUUCGGGUUGUAAAACUCUGUGAUCCGGGACGAAAAGGCAGAGUGCGAAGAACAAACUGCAUUGACGGUACCGGAAAAGCAAGCCACGGCUAACUACGUG
rnacentral:rRNA from 1 species